UACGUAGGAGGCGAGCGUUGUCCGGAAUUACUGGGCGUAAAGCGCGCGUAGGCGGUUUUGUACGAUCGGUGUGAAGCCCCGGCUCAACUGGGGAGGGUCAUCGAAUAACGGCAGGACUGACAUGAGUGCAGGAGAGGGACGUGGAACUCCGGGAGGUAGCGGUGAAAUGCGUAGAGACCCGGAGGAACACCAGUGGCGAAGGCGGCGUCCUGGCCUGCGACUGACGCUGAGGCGCGAAAGCGAGGGGAGCGAACGGG
rnacentral:rRNA from 1 species